GAAUCAUCCCCGUUGACUUUUUUUUUUUUUUCUUGGGUGGUAAAUGGAUCAUAAAACUUGAACUUGUAACAGGUAUGAGAUGAAAGUAAGGGAGCAGCAAGAGUCAAUAAGGAACCAACGUAAAUUACAGGUAUAUCUUAAAAGUCACAGAAAAUCCAUGAGAAAAUUACAAAAUUACAUGAGCAAAUGUCAUGGAUUUUUUCUCCUUCUCUGUUCUUUCUAUUCUCUUAUUCAUUAUUCCCAUAUGGUCUAUCAAACGUGCUCCGAGUAUCAACUUAUUUAUUUUUUUCCAUAUUCCUAUCGGAAAGAUUUGAUUUGAGUGAUAGAAAUGGCAUAUGCAUAUCAAGCAAUUAUAAGGCAUUGGACUAAAGCAUGCCCUGUUAUAUUCUUAAAAUGCAGGUUGGCACAGGUGCUCGAGCAGAAAAGAUUCGAACAUACAAUUACAAGGUAUUUUGUUAUUCUCAUUACUUUGGUUUGAGCUUAUUAUGGUAAGAGCCCUGGCUCCUAAGAGAUGUUGAUGAUUUAAUUAUUUUAAUUGCUUAAUGGUUCAAACCCUGACAUCCUGUUCCCUAUAAUUGAAUAAAAGGGGGAAAGAGUGGAGAAAUACAACAAUCUUGUUUAGAAAAAAAGAAAGAAACAGGCUAUUGACAUGCCCAACUUUAAUUGUGGUAUAUUGUUAUGGAGAUGAGUUUAGUCUUAAAGAACUGUAUGUUUGAUGGAAGGUUACAUGUUCUUUAAUUAGGACAAUAGAGUCACCGACCACCGGUUAAAGAUGAACUUUGAGCUUACAUCUUUUCUUGAAGGUGAUAUAGAAAAUGCAGUGCAGGUAAUUAUUCUCAUACAAUUUUUCUUAUUUUUGAUGUGUUCUUUAUUCCUAUCCUUUUUUGGUUCUUUCAUCUGGUAUAUAACUAAUAAUAUAUAUCUAUAAAUUAAAUUGAUUCUCCUGCCUCCAAUAUGCUUCGUUCUUGCAGGCAUGUGCUGCCAUGGAGCAGAAGGAACUCCUGGAAGAACUUGCAGAGUCUGUAGGUGCUCCCGCUGGCUGAUUUGCAAAAUUUUGUCACUUGCUACAAUACUCUCAAGUUGUUGAAACAGGGGAAAACCACUUGGAGGAAGUGCUGAUAAGCAAAUUGCUGCCGAAGUAAUCUUCUCAUAGCAACUUUCUUAAGACGGAUAUUCACAGGUCAAAUUUAUUUGUAUUUAUGGAUGCAAUCAGACGCCGUAUGCAUUUGGUAUUUACCAACAUCUAUAUGUACGGGACUAGCCACUUAAAUUGUAUCAUAUCAUAAUGUAUUGUAUGCUAUGAUUUCAGUUGAAUUGUAAAUUACUUUUAUUCAUUUAUGCCCAUGCUUCUAAUCUGAAAUUUUA
rnacentral:misc_RNA from 1 species